rnacentral:rRNA from 1 species
GACGAACGCUGGCGGCGUGCUUAACACAUGCAAGUCGAACGGAAAGGCCCUGCUUUUGUGGGGUGCUCGAGUGGCGAACGGGUGAGUAACACGUGAGUAACCUGCCCUUGACUUUGGGAUAACUUCAGGAAACUGGGGCUAAUACCGGAUAGGAGCUCCUGCUGCAUGGUGGGGGUUGGAAAGUUUCGGCGGUUGGGGAUGGACUCGCGGCUUAUCAGCUUGUUGGUGGGGUAGUGGCUUACCAAGGCUUUGACGGGUAGCCGGCCUGAGAGGGUGACCGGCAACAUUGGGACUGAGAGACGGCCCAGACUCCUACGGGAGGCAGCAGUGGGGAAUAUUGCACAAUGGGCGGAAGCCUGAUGCAGCAACGCCGCGUGCGGGAUGACGGCCUUCGGGUUGUAAACCGCUUUCGCCUGUGACGAAGCGUGAGUGACGGUAAUGGGUAAAGAAGCACCGGCUAACUACGU